GGCUCUUGCUGUACCGCCGCAACAAAAGAAGUUCAGCCUAUUUCAUCUCCCACUUCAACAAUCCCUCCUCCAUCAACAUACCUUUACGUACCUCUCUCCUGUUCAUGCCCGUUUGAAGCUUGCUCUCAUCUCUCUCUCUCUCAAAGAUGGCUGACCGGAAGCCUCAGAACAAUGGCUUUCCCGGCAAAACCCAAACACAUAUUCCAACUUUAGAUCCACCGCAGAAACCAAAACGAAACAAGUAUGCUUUCGCCUGUGCCAUUUUAGCUUCCAUGACUUCCAUCUUACUUGGUUAUGAUGUUGGGGUGAUGAGUGGAGCAGGACUCUUCAUCAAGGACGACCUCAAAAUCUCCGACGUCUAGCUGGAAGUACUAAUGGGCAUCAUCAACCUCCACUCCCUCCUCGGCUCCGCCGCCGCCAUAGGUAGAACCUCCGAUUGGGUGGGCCGUCAGUACACCAUUGUCAUCGCCGCCGCAAUAUUCUUCGCCGGUGCCAUCCUGAUGGGCUUCGCCACCAACUACGCCUUCCUCAUUGUGGGCCACUUCGUCACCGGCAUCGGUGUCGGGUACGCCCUCUUGAUCGCCCCCGUCUGCACUGCCGAAGUCUCUCCCGCCGCCUCCCGCGGCUUCCUCACCUCUUUCCCCGAAGUCUUCAUCAACG